UACGAAGGGGGCUAGCGUUGCUCGGAAUCACUGGGCGUAAAGAGCUCGUAGGCGGUUCAGCAAGUCGGGUGUGAAACCUCCAGGCUCAACCUGGAGACGCCACCCGAUACUGCUGUGACUUGAGUCCGGUAGGGGACCACGGAAUUCCUGGUGUAGCGGUGAAAUGCGCAGAUAUCAGGAGGAACACCGGUGGCGAAGGCGGUGGUCUGGGCCGGAACUGACGCUGAGGAGCGAAAGCUAGGGGAGCGAACAGG
rnacentral:rRNA from 1 species